CUACCUUCUAAACUUCCCACCCAUAUCAGUGGCUGCGUACGUCUCCAUUAUUCUAGCACACCUUUUUUUUCCUUUAUUUGAGCGGGCAUUCGGCGUGGUGAAGCGUUCGCCUUUUCUUCAGUUUAUCUGACAGCAAUGGGAAAUGUGUUUUAACAAUAUUUUCCCACUACUCUCGUCGUUUAUUCUUUGAAUUAUAAGUAAUGUUUACAAAAAUAUCACU